AAAGUUUUUCGAUUGGGGAUGGGCUCGCGGCCUAUCAGUUUGUUGGUGGGGUAAUGGCCUACCAAGGCGACGACGGGUAGCCGGCCUGAGAGGGCGACCGGCCACACUGGGACUGAGACACGGCCCAGACUCCUACGGGAGGCAGCAGUGGGGAAUAUUGCACAAUGGGGGAAACCCUGAUGCAGCGACGCAGCGUGCGGGAUGACGGCCUUCGGGUUGUAAACCGCUUUCAGUAGGGAAGAAGCCUUUGUGGUGACGGUACCUGCAGAAGAAGUACCGGCUAACUACGUGCCAGCAGCCGCGGUAAUACGUAGGGUACGAGCGUUGUCCGGAAUUAUUGGGCGUAAAGAGCUCGUAGGUGGUUGGUCACGUCUGCUGUGGAAACGCAACGCUUAACGUUGCGCGGGCAGUGGGUACGGGCUGACUAGAGUGCAGUAGGGGAGUCUGGAAUUCCUGGUGUAGCGGUGAAAUGCGCAGAUAUCAGGAGGAACACCGGUGGCGAAGGCGGGACUCUGGGCUGUAACUGACACUGAGGAGCGAAAGCAUGGGGAGCGAACAGGAUUAGAUACCCUGGUAGUCCAUGCCGUAAACGUUGGGCACUAGGUGUGGGGGGCAUUCCACGUUCUCCGCGCCGUAGCUAACGCAUUAAGUGCCCCGCCUGGGGAGUACGGUCGCAAGGCUAAAACUCAAAGGAAUUGACGGGGGCCCGCACAAGCGGCGGAGCAUGCGGAUUAAUUCGAUGCAACGCGAAGAACCUUACCAAGGCUUGACAUACACUGGACCGUUCUGGAAACAGUUCUUCUCUUUGGAGCUGGUGUACAGGUGGUGCAUGGUUGUCGUCAGCUCGUGUCGUGAGAUGUUGGGUUAAGUCCCGCAACGAGCGCAACCCUCGUUCUAUGUUGCCAGCACGUGAUGGUGGGAACUCAUAGGAGACUGCCGGGGUCAACUCGGAGGAAGGUGGGGAUGACGUCAAAUCAUCAUGCCCUUUAUGUCUUGGGCUUCACGCAUGCUACAAUGGCUGGUACAGAGAGAGGCGAACCCGUGAGGGUGAGCGAAUCCCUUAAAGCCAGUCUCAGUUCGGAUCGUAGUCUGCAAUUCGACUACGUGAAGUCGGAGUCGCUAGUAAUCGCAGAUCAGCAAC
rnacentral:rRNA from 1 species